AGGGAUUCAGAUUUGUGUUGUUGCUUGUUAUAGCAUCGCUGAAUUGGAUGGAAGAAAGAAUGCAUCCCUUUAAUCAGAUGUUGGAUGUAUGUCUGUCUUCAUUAUAUUCUAAGGUGCUUCUGAUGCUUGCCUUCAAGAAAUUCUUUUGAGCUCCAGAAAGUUGGACGGUUUGCCUCGUGGCAUAAUACAAGCUAGGUCGGAUUUAGAGCUGAGGCCUUUAUGGCUGACUAGUUCAAAGUUAACGGUUGAUUAUAGCAAUCACAAUUUACUGGCUAUUGCAGCUGGUAUUAAGCAGAAACAUAAUGUUGAUGAUAUUGUGCAAAAGG